rnacentral:sRNA from 1 species
GCCGGGCAUGGUGGCGCAUGCCUGCAGUCCCAGCUACUCAGGAGGCUGAGGCAGGAGAAUCACUUGAACCCAGGAGGUGAAGGUUGCAGUGAGCUGAGAUCAUGCCACUGCACUCCAGCCUGGGCAACACAGUGAAACUCUGUCUCAA